ACACUCCCCUCCUGCUACCUAGGCAGGCGUGAGGGUGUGACGGCCGCGCAUUCGCCAGACGAGAGCGAUGGCUGAGAACGCCGCACCAGGUCUGAUCUCAGAGCUGAAGCUGGCUGUGCCCUGGGGCCACAUCGCAGCCAAAGCCUGGGGCUCCCUGCAGGGCCCUCCAGUUCUCUGCCUGCACGGCUGGCUGGACAAUGCCAGCUCCUUCGACAGACUCAUCCCUCUUCUCCCGCAAGACUUUUAUUACGUUGCCAUGGAUUUCGGAGGUCAUGGGCUCUCGUCCCAUUACAGCCCAGGUGUCCCAUAUUACCUCCAGACUUUUGUGAGUGAGAUCCGAAGAGUUGUGGCAGCCUUGAAAUGGAAUCGAUUCUCCAUUCUGGGCCACAGCUUCGGUGGCGUCGUGGGCGGAAUGUUUUUCUGUACCUUCCCCGAGAUGGUGGAUAAACUUAUCUUGCUGGACACGCCGCUCUUUCUCCUGGAAUCAGAUGAAAUGGAGAACUUGCUGACCUACAAGCGGAGAGCCAUAGAGCACGUGCUGCAGGUAGAGGCCUCCCAGGAGCCCUCGCACGUGUUCAGCCUGAAGCAGCUGCUGCAGAGGCAGAGAACAGCAUUGACUUCGUCAGCAGGGAGCUGUGUGCGCAUUCCAUCAGGAAGCUGCAGGCCCAUGUCCUGUUGAUCAAAGCAGUCCACGGAUAUUUUGAUCCAAGAGAGAAUUACUCUGACAAGGAGUCCCUGUCGUUCAUGAUAGACACAAUGAAAUCCACCCUCAAAGAGGACUACUUCGGAUACAAUCACAGCAACCCUGGCCUCGGCCCUGCCCUGUCCCUGCCAUGCAACUUCACAACUCAGCUGGCCUAGACCCCUGGGAGGCCUCCAAGUCCCUAAGCGGUUCCAGUUUGUGGAAGUCCCAGGCAAUCACUGUGUCCACAUGAGCGAACCCCAGCACGUGGCCAGUAUCAUCAGCUCCUUCUUACAGUGCACACACACGCUCCCAGCCCAGCUGUAGCUCUGGGCCUGGAACUAUGAAGACCUAGUGCUCCCAGACUCAACACUGGGACUCUGAGUUCCUGAGCCCCACAACAAGGCCAGGGAUGGUGGGGACAGGCCUCACUAGUCUUGAGGCCCAGCCUAGGAUGGUAGUCAGGGGAAGGAGCGAGAUUCCAACUUCAACAUCUGUGACCUCAAGGGGGAGACAGAGUCUGGGUUCCAGGGCUGCUGUCUCCUGGCUAAUAAUCUCCAGCCAGCUGGAGGAAGGAAGGGCGGGCUGGGCCCACCUAGCCUUUCCCUGCUGCCCAACUGGAUGGAAAAUAAAAGGUUCUUGUAUUCUCA
rnacentral:lncRNA from 1 species